rnacentral:rRNA from 1 species
GACGAACGCUGGCGGCGUGCUUAACACAUGCAAGUCGAACGGAAAGGCCCUGCUUUUGUGGGGUGCUCGAGUGGCGAACGGGUGAGUAACACGUGAGUAACCUGCCCUUGACUUUGGGAUAACUUCAGGAAACUGGGGCUAAUACCGGAUAGGAGCUCCUGCUGCAUGGUGGGGGUUGGAAAGUUUCGGCGGUUGGGGAUGGACUCGCGGCUUAUCAGCUUGUUGGUGGGGUAGUGGCUUACCAAGGCUUUGACGGGUAGCCGGCCUGAGAGGGUGACCGGCCACAUUGGGACUGAGAUACGGCCCAGACUCCUACGGGAGGCAGCAGUGGGGAAUAUUGCACAAUGGGCGGAAGCCUGAUGCAGCAACGCCGCGUGCGGGAUGACGGCCUUCGGGUUGUAAACCGCUUUCGCCUGUGACGAAGCGUGAGUGACGGUAAUGGGUAAAGAAGCACCGGCUAACUACGUGCCAGCAGCCGCGGUGAUACGUAGGGUGCGAGCGUUGUCCGGGUUUAUUGGGCGUAAAGGGCUCGUAGGUGGUUGAUCGCGUCGGAAGUGUAAUCUUGGGGCUUAACCCUGAGCGUGCUUUCGAUACGGGUUGACUUGAGGAAGGUAGGGGAGAAUGGAAUUCCUGGUGGAGCGGUGGAAUGCGCAGAUAUCAGGAGGAACACCAGUGGCGAAGGCGGUUCUCUGGGCCUUUCCUGACGCUGAGGAGCGAAAGCGUGGGGAGCGAACAGGCUUAGAUACCCUGGUAGUCCACGCUGUAAACGGUGGGUACUAGGUGUGGGGUCCAUUCCACGGGUUCCGUGCCGUAGCUAACGCUUUAAGUACCCCGCCUGGGGAGUACGGCCGCAAGGCUAAAACUCAAAGGAAUUGACGGGGCCCCGCACAAGCGGCGGAGCAUGCGGAUUAAUUCGAUGCAACGCGUAGAACCUUACCUGGGUUUGACAUGGAUCGGGAGUGCUCAGAGAUGGGUGUGCCUCUUUUGGGGUCGGUUCACAGGUGGUGCAUGGCUGUCGUCAGCUCGUGUCGUGAGAUGUUGGGUUAAGUCCCGCAACGAGCGCAACCCUUGUUCACUGUUGCCAGCACGUUAUGGUGGGGACUCAGUGGAGACCGCCGGGGUCAACUCGGAGGAAGGUGGGGAUGACGUCAAGUCAUCAUGCCCCUUAUGUCCAGGGCUUCACGCAUGCUACAAUGGCUGGUACAGAGAGUGGCGAGCCUGUGAGGGUGAGCGAAUCUCGGAAAGCCGGUCUCAGUUCGGAUUGGGGUCUGCAACUCGACCUCAUGAAGUCGGAGUCGCUAGUAAUCGCAGAUCAGCAACGCUGCGGUGAAUACGUUCCCGGGGCU